CUUGGUGAACCAGCGGAGGGAUCAUUACAGAGAAUUAAGAACCUCUAAACCCAUGUGAACAUACCUAUCGUUGCCUCGGUCGUGAUGCUGCUGGGCGGUUACCCUGUAGGCUACCCUGUAGCUUACCCUGUAACUUACCCUGUAGUAGCGGCCGAUGGACCUAAACUCGUUUUCAGUAUCACUCUGAGUAACCAAAAAUAAGUUAAAACUUUCAACAACGGAUCUCUUGGUUCAGGCAUCGAUGAAGAAC
rnacentral:misc_RNA from 1 species